AAUGAACUUUCCCCAGUACCAACCAGGCAGCCUCCAGGGCAAGAAAAGGCUCCAGUGAAAGGAAAAUGGCCUGCAGGUGCCCACAGGAGAGCACAUGAGUUCUGAGACAGCUCUACAGCUCCAAGCCUUCAUUCCCAUGAGUAACACAGGGACACACAGAGGGGCAUGCUGACUGCCUAUAGGGCACCCAUGGAACAUGGAUGCACCCAGCAGAUCCUGAAACCGGUCAGGGUGCCUCUGACAUCUGCACAGCACAUACAACCAAGUUUAGGAGCCUACUGUUAAGAUGCCCAAGUGACAUUGACAAGUUUCGCUGGGAGCCAAUGAGGUCUGCUGACCACAAAAGCAUCGCAGUACUGCUGAAGGAUUCUGGAAAAUGUGGUGCAGGUUGGCCGGUGCGGCUUGGAGGAAACUUCUGGAGGGUGGGGUGGUGCUGAAGAGGAGGCAACAUUGUAACAGUUUUGUUCAACAUGGGUGUUUUCCUUAUGCAUCAAUUUGUAUUUUUAAAGAUAUUACAUUAAAAUUUUGUUUAUCUUGAUUACUGAGUUUUUUUGGUGCCCCAUAAUUUCUCUAUCCAUAGUCCUGAGCCUUGAUACAAAGUGAGGACCUGGCCUCUGGACAUCAAGCAGCCAGAAAUUCCCUUAGGAGCAUUCUCUGAAUUGUUGAAUUGUGAGUGAUUAUUUUCCUUUCCUGACUUCCCUAAUAUCCACAAUUUCCUCAUAAUCAUCCUCCAAAGCCACACCCACAAGGAACCUCUGAGACCUAUCAUGAAGCAGAUAUUCAAAAAUUAUUUGUAAAUCUUCACACACCACCCCUGCCACAAUGUCUUCCAACAUCACUUUGCCUGGAGAAUUAAAAAACAAGGUUUGCAUGUUGAGUAUCAGCCUCUCCCAUUGGGUGGGUGUUUAGGAAGGAGGAUCAGCCAAGAGUCUUAUUCCAGCCCAGGUAAAUGACCUGGCCAAAGAUUUGAUAUCCACAAAUGUGGAAUCCUUGUAACAGAACUCAGUGGGAACCAAAGUCAGGCAUGGGGCUGGGCUUUAAGGAGCACAAACGAAAAGGAAGGACUAGAAAACUUCAGAAAGGUACUGAUGGGGGAUGGCGGGGUAGGGGGGAUGGGGGACAGUGAGGAUGUGGGAUCCUGAGAUAAUCCGAAUCCCUAUGUGUAGAUGUAUGUGUACAAAGGCUGUAAAGAGAGACCCAGGCUGAUGGGGUAUCUGUAAUCAAACAUAAUGUGGCAGCAGGUCAAGUGAUACGGGGACUCUGGAAAAACGGAACAAGCAGCAAAAGGAGCAGUAUCAAACUCCACAGAACUUAACCAACACCAAGACAUUAAGAAAGGUAUUCCAGGAGGAUCCAGGUGCCUGUGCAAAGACCAAGCAGUGAGCAGACGUGUGUGUUAGUGAUUCCGUUAGCAUGAACUGAACAUCAUCUAAUACAGCAUCUCACAGUUCUGUGUGCAUCAGACUCACCUGGGGGACUUGUUAAAUACAGAUUGUUGGGUCUCACUCCUAGAGUUUCUGGUUCAGUGUUUUGCGGUGCAGCCUGUGAGUCUGUACUUCCAGCAUGUUUUUCAGGUACUGCUAAUACUGUUGGUCCAAGGACUUUACUAUGAUCUAAUUUAAUACUAGGUUUGGGGAAGUACUAAAGAGCAAAGAAACAACAGAGGAAGGGACCUGAAGCCUGUAGGGGCUUUUCUGUAAACUCCUCAAACAUAAAAGCCUUCAAGGCACUCAAAGAGCAUUUACAGCAUCAUGUCUACAAAUACAAGAUACCACGCAGGGAGUGCUCCAUCAAGUAGAGAGAUAAGCCCACUGAGUGUCCCUGUCUCAGUCUGUUUGUGUUGCUAUAACAGAAUACCACAGACUGAGUGAUUUAUAAGCAAGAGUUCACUUGGUUUACGGUUCUGGACACUGGAAAAGUGAGGGGCCUGCAUCUGGUGAAGGUCUUGCUGUGCCGUCCUAUGGUGGAAGGUGGAAGGGCAAGAGAGUGACCACAUGUGAGAAGAGGGAGGGGAAAAGGGAGAAAGGAAAGGAAGCCAUCCUCAUUCUUUUAUCAGGAACCCACUCCCAAGACAACUAACCCCCUCCGCCUUCAUCCAUUCCUGAGGGCAGAACCUUUAUGACCUAAUCACCUCUUAAUGGUCCCACUGGGCAGCACUGUUGCAUUAUGGGUUGAGUUUCCAACACGUGAACUUCAGGAAACACCUUCAAACCACAGCAGUCCUCAUGCAAGCCUUCCAGAAAACCUGCAUGCCUGGCACUCUGGAAUCCCUCUUUUCCACCCCUUCUCACUGCAACUCUAACAUCAUGAUCCCUCAUCAUUUUCCAUUCAAGCACAGGAAAGAACAUAAUCACUACACCCAUUUUUUAUGAACCAUUCCUAAAUUAAAAUAAUUCUAUCACUCAAAUAGAAAUUUGCAAAAAUAAAUUUUCAUUUUUGAUAUGAGUGAAUAUGAAUUUGAAUUUUUUUUCUUGAGAAGGAGUUUUGCUCUGUGGCCCAGGCUGGAGUGAAGUCAUGAGAUCUUGGCUCACUGCAACCUCUGCCCCCGGGUUCAAGCAAUUCUCCUGCCUCAGCCUACCGAGUAGCUGGGAUUAUCAGCACCCGCCAACACGUCCAGCUAAUUUUUGGGGUUUUUUUUGUUUUGUUUUGUUUUUUGUUUUCUUUUGAGAUGGAGUUUCACUAUUGUUGCCCAGACUGGAGUGCAAUGGCGUGAUGUUGGCUCACCGCAAACUCCGCCUCGCAGGUUCAAUCGAUUCUCCUGCCUCAGCGUCCCAAGUAGUUGGGAUCACAGGCAUGCACCACCACACCUGGCUAAUUUUGUAUUUUUAGUAGAGACGGGGUGUUGCCAUGUUUGCCAGGCUGGUCUCGAACCCCUGACCUCAGGUGAUCCGCCCAUCUCGGCUUCCCAAAGUGCUGGAUUACAGGCAUGAGCCUCUGCGCCCGGCCCUGAAUAUGAAAUUCUGUAUUAGUUUAAUGAAAAUUCUAAAAUAUAUAGAAAGUAAAAAUAAUUAUCAAAAGUGUUCAAUGAUGCAAAGCAACACAUACCGUGAGAUCUUAUAUCCUAAAAUAUAUAGACCUAAAUAUGUUAUUUUAAAAAUCAGGCAGAAACAUAAGGGGCUGUAUAGACACCUUUCAAAAUAAGCUUUCUGGCCGGGAGCGUUGGCUCAUGCUGUAAUCCCAGCACUCUGGGAAGCCGAGGUGGGGAGAUCACCUGAGGUCAGGAGUUCAGGACCAGCCUGGCCAACAUGGUGAAACCCCAUCUCUACUAAAAAUACAAAAAUUAGCUGGGCAUGAUGGUGGGCACCUGUAAUCCCAACUACUCAAGAGGCUGAGGCAGGGAGAACUGCUUGAACCUGGGAGGUGGAGGUUGUAGGGAGCUGAAACAUGCCAUUGUACUCCACUCUGGGCGACAAAGCAAGACUCCAUCUCAAGAAAAAAAAUAAUAAUAUUAAAUAAAAUAAGCUUUCUAGGUUGGGCACAGUGGAAGGUGGAAGGGCAAAAGACUCACCACAUGUGAGAGGAGGGAAGGGGAAAGGGAGAAAGGGAAGGAAGCCUUUCUUUGGGAGGGUGAGGUGGGCACAUCACUUGAGGUCAGGAGUUCGAGACCAGCCUAGCCAAAAUGGCAAAACCCUGUCUCUACUAAAAAGACAAAAAUUACCCAGACUUGGUGGUGCACAUCUGUAAUCCCAGCUACUUGGGAAGCUGAGGCAGGAGAAUCACUUGAACCUGGAAGGCAGAGGUUGUACUGAGCCGAGAUCGCACCACUGCACUGCAGUCUGGGUGACAGAGCGAGACUCCAUUUCAAACAAAAAAACAAAAAAACAAAAAACACGUUUUGCAGGGGUGUGGGGUAGACAGGAAUCAAGGCAGAGAGAGCAGUGGGGAUAUACAUAAAAUCACCCUCCACAGCUGUGCUGUCCAAUAAGACUCCACUACUUGGGAGGCUGAGGUGGGAGGAUCAUUUGAGCCCUGAAGGUCGAGGCUGCAGUGAGCUGAGAUUGUGCCACUGCACUCCAGUCUAGGUGACAGAGUGAGACCCUAUCUUCAAAAAAAAAAUUAGAUGGGCAUGGUGGUGGUCAGGACCAGUCUGACCAACAUGGAGAAACCCUGUUUCUACUAAAAAUACAAAAGUAGCCAGGUGUGGUGGCACAUGAUUGUAAUCCCACCUACUCGGGAGGCUGAGGCAGAAGAAUCCUUUGAACCCAGGAGGUGGAGGUUGCAGUGAGCUGAGAUCAUGCCACGGCACUUCAGCCUGGCAACAGAGCGAGACUUUGUCUCAAAAAAAAAAAAAAAGAAAAUAUACAAUUUUGGAGGGAAGUUUCAAAAUCAAUCAGUGAGCACCCCCCAGGUUUAUCCUUAUGUAACGUGCCCCCUCUGCACAUGCAGGAUUAAAUAAACCUUGAAAAUAUUAUGCUACGUGGAAGAAGCCAGUCACAAAAUACCACAUGUUAUGUAAUUCCAUUUAAAUAAAAUGUCCAAAAUACAACAAUACGUUGAGACAGAA
rnacentral:lncRNA from 1 species